AGACGGACCGCCCGAACGUUACUCGGAAUCACUGGGCUUAAAGGGUGUGUAGGCGGCUUGGUAAGUCGGGUGUGAAAGCCCUCGGCUCAACCGAGGAACUGCGCCCGAUACUGCCAAGCUAGAGGGAGGCAGAGGUGAGCGGAACCACGGGUGGAGCGGUGAAAUGCUUUGAUAUCCGUGGGAACACCAGUGGCGAAGGCGGCUCACUGGGCCUCUUCUGACGUUGAAACACGAAAGCCAGGGGAGCGAACGGGAUUAGAAACCCUAGUAGUCC
rnacentral:rRNA from 1 species